rnacentral:rRNA from 2 species
UUCGCAAUGCCCGAAAGGGUGACGAAGCGACGCCGCGUGGGUGAGGAAGGCCUUCGGGUUGUAAAGCCCUGUCAGGAGUUAAGAAAUGUAAGUGCGCUAAUAUCACAUUUAUUUGACGAAGGCUCCAAAGGAAGUCACGGCUAACUCUGUGCCAGCAGCCGCGGUAAUACAGAGGUGGCAAGCGUUGUUCGGAAUUAUUGGGCGUAAAGAGCACGUAGGUGGGUUUGCAAGUCAGAUGUGAAAGCCUCCUGUUCAACGGGAGAAUUGCAUCUGAAACUGCAGAUCUUGAGUGUAGGAGGGGAGAGUGGAACUUCUGGUGGAGCGGUGAAAUGCGUAGAUAUCAGAAGGAACGCCGGCGGCGAAAGCGAUUCUCUGGCCUAUUACUGACACUCAGUGUGCGAAAGCUAGGGGAGCAAACGGGAUUAGAUACCCCGGUAGUCCUAGCCGUAAACGAUGGGCACUAAGUAGAGGGGUUUU